rnacentral:rRNA from 1 species
GAUGAACGCUGACAGAAUGCUUAACACAUGCAAGUCAACUUGAACUUCGGUUUGGGUGGCGGACGGGUGAGUAACGCGUAAAGAACUUGCCUCACAGCUAGGGACAACUUUUGGAAACGAAUGCUAAUACCUGAUAUUAUGAUUAUAUGGCAUCGUAUAAUUAUGAAAGCUAUCUGCGCUGUGAGAGGGCUUUGCGUCCCAUUAGCUAGUUGGAGAGGUAACAUCUCCCCAAGGCGAUGAUGGGUAGCCGGCCGGUGAGGGUGAUCGGCCACAAGGGGACGGAGACAGGGCCCGUACAGAUUCGGGAGGCAGGAGUGGGGAAUAUAGGACAAAGGACCGAGAGACUGAUGCAGCAAUUCUGUGUGGAGGAUGAAGUUUUUCGGAAUGUAAAAAGGUUUCAGUAGCGAAGAAAAUAAUGACGGUACCAACAGAAUAAGCGACGGCUAAAUACAUG